UAGGGAAUCUUCCGCAAUGGACGAAAGUCUGACGGAGCAACGCCGCGUGAGUGAAGAAGGAUUUCGGUUCGUAAAACUCUGUUGUUAGGGAAGAAAAAAUGUAUAGUAACUAUAUACAAAAGAGACGGUACCUAACCAGAAAGCCACGGCUAACUACGUGCCAGCAGCCGCGGUAAUACGUAGGUGGCAAGCGUUGUCCGGAAUUAUUGGGCGUAAAGCGCGCGCAGGUGGUUUAGAAAGUCUGAUGUGAAAGCCCACGGCUCAACCGUGGAGGGUCAUUGGAAACUAAUAAACUUGAGUGCAGGAGAGAAAAGUGGAAUUCCUAGUGUAGCGGUGAAAUGCGUAGAGAUUAGGAGGAAAACCAGUGGCGAAAGCGGCUUUUUGGCCUGCAACUGACACUGAGGCGCGAAAGCGUGGGGAGCAAACAGG
rnacentral:rRNA from 1 species